GAUUCUCCUGAAUAUGAGAUUAUGAUGAUAUGACCUUACAGAAAAUCAUUCAAUUCAUAAAUGACUAUUUACAGAUCAAACCCGUCUACUGCAGAUGUUGAGGGGAAUGGAAACUUUUCUCCUGUGUCAAUUAUCCCAGGCUGAGAAUCUAAACUUUCCCCAACUAGAGUUGGCUCUUCACAAUGGAGAUAAAGGUCCCUCACAAGGAGCCCAGAGACUGGGAGAUACUUCCGGUGUUCCUCUCUUCUUUCUUCCCCGUUAAUGAAGACACAGACGUAUUGAUCUUUUCAUUGUUCACAUUACAGGUUCCCUUACCAGCGACAAUCAGAGGAUUUUGGCCGCAGUGGGGAAACUAACAGAUGGACUCCACAACAGCAACGGCUCUGUUGAUCCAUUAUGCGGUUCGGAAUGGACACACUAUGGCCUAAACUGCUACUACCUGUCCCAUUACGCACGGCCGUGGGAUUACGCCAAGAAACACUGUGAGGAUAAGAAGAGUCAUCUGGUGGUCAUCAAAGGUCUGGUUGAGAUGAAUUUUCUACGUAACGUUUCACAGUCCCAGAGUUUGUGGAUCGGUCUUUCAAGUGAUAACGACAUCUUGAAUUGGGUGGACGGCACAUCUUAUGAGAGAUCUCCAAAGUUCUGGAAUGACGAUGAGCCCCAGACUUGGUAUAGGGAUUUUCGAUAUUGUGCUUAUUUGAAAAAUGGAGAGAAUUGGAGCGCUUCUUUCUGCUCCCGUAGUUACCGAUACGUCUGUGAGAAGAAGACAUUGUGACCACCAGACUUCUCCUGAUAUCUCCUCAUCUCUCCUUCACCAUACUACAGCGAGGGAAGAUCUACUAACAGAAGAAAAUGUAUCCUGCCGGACAUCCCGGGACUUGGAGGGCCAAUUUUUUUUCGGGGGGCGCAAACAAACUGAAAAAACAAAACAGCAAUUGCAGCCACUGUGCCAUUGAA